GUAUUUGGCUGGACGGGUUUUAUGGGCGAUUUAGAAGGCUCAUGGCCUAGAACAAUGGUUCACAUUGCACAUAGGGAAUACGUUGAUCUACCAUCUCCUUUGUGGGAGUGAAAAUUAAAAUUUGUGUUAGAGGGAGUACGUGUUCACGCAGCCCCA